rnacentral:rRNA from 1 species
GACGAACGCUGGCGGCGUGCUUAACACAUGCAAGUCGAACGGGCCUGUCUUCUUUUUUGGGGGUGGGUUGAGUGGCGAACGGGUGAGUAUCACGUGAGUAACCUGCCCUUCGGUCCUGGAUAACCGCUUGAAAGGGCGGCUAAUACGGGGUGGUCCGGUUGGUCCGCAUGGGCUGGUCGGGAUAGAUUCACUGUUUUUGGUGUUUCGGCGGGGGAUGGGCUCGCGGCCUAUCAGCUUGUUGGUGGGGUGAUGGCCUACCAAGGCGGUGACGGGUAGCCGGCCUGGGAGGGUGGGCGGCCACACUGGGACUGAGAUACGGCCCAGACUCCUGCGGGAGGCAGCAGUGGGGGGUAUUGCACAAGGGGCGGAAGCCUGAUGCAGCGACGUCGCGUGAGGGAUGGAGGCCUUCGGGUUGUGAACCUCUGUUUCCGGUGGUGAAGGCCCUGUCCGUGUGGUGGGGUUGACGGUAGCCGGGGAUGAAGCGCCGGCUAACUACGUG